GAACGGGGAGGAGCCCAGAGCCUGAAUCAGCAUGUGUGUUAGUGGAAGCGUCUGGAAAGGCGCGCGAUACAGGGUGACAGCCCCGUACACAAAAGCGCAUGUGCUGUGAGCUCGAUGAGUAGGGCGGGACACGUGGUAUCCUGUCUGAAUAUGGGGGGACCAUCCUCCAAGGCUAAAUACUCCUGACUGACCGAUAGUGAACCAGUACCGUGAGGGAAAGGCGAAAAGAACCCCGGCGAGGGGAGUGAAAAAGAACCUGAAACCGUGUACGUACAAGCAGUGGGAGCACAGGUUUACCUGUGUGACUGCGUACCUUUUGUAUAAUGGGUCAGCGACUUAUAUUCUGUAGCAAGGUUAACCGUAUAGGGGAGCCGAAGGGAAACCGAGUCUUAACCGGGCGUUAAGUUGCAGGGUAUAGACCCGAAACCCGGUGAUCUAGCCAUGGGCAGGUUGAAGGUUGGGUAACACUAACUGGAGGACCGAACCGACUAAUGUUGAAAAAUUAGCGGAUGACCUGUGGCUGGGGGUGAAAGGCCAAUCAAACCGGGAGAUAGCUGGUUCUCCCCGAAAGCUAUUUAGGUAGCGCCUCGUGAAUUCAUCUCCGGGGGUAGAGCACUGUUUCGGCUAGGGGGCCAUCCCGGCUUACCAACCCGAUGCAAACUGCGAAUACCGGAGAAUGUUAUCACGGGAGACACACGGCGGGUGCUAACGUCCGUCGUGAAGAGGGAAACAACCCAGACCGCCAGCUAAGGUCCCAAAGUCAUGGUUAAGUGGGAAACGAUGUGGGAAGGCCCAGACAGCCAGGAUGUUGGCUUAGAAGCAGCCAUCAUUUAAAGAAAGCGUAAUAGCUCACUGGUCGAGUCGGCCUGCGCGGAAGAUGUAACGGGGCUAAACCAUGCACCGAAGCUGCGGCAGCGACACUGUGUGUUGUUGGGUAGGGGAGCGUUCUGUAAGCCUGUGAAGGUGUGUCGUGAGGCAUGCUGGAGGUAUCAGAAGUGCGAAUG
rnacentral:rRNA from 1 species